UGGGAACCGUACGGUGUAAUCUGGGGCGUCAUCAGGUCUGGUUGGUCGGUCCAGGCCAGGCAUGAGUAGCUCCUGAGGCUGAUGGGGAUGGAUGGAUGGACAUGUGCAUGCAUGUAAAUUCACUCAUUUUGCUCCGUAUGUAGUCCAUAUUGGAAUCUCUAAAAGGACUUAUAUUUAGAAACGGAGGGAGUAUGAUCUAAAUGCUCUUAUAUUUGUUUACAGAGGGAGUAUGUAUGUAUGUAUGGAUAUCAGGGUCAUCUUGCUUGGUGGGCAAACGCUGGGGGUACAACCUCCUUUUCGGUAAAAAAAUGAGGGGCGAUGAUGAUGACUGUGGCCGAAAUAAGCAUGUCUUGAGCAAUCAAGACAGCUGUGGCCUGUGGGUACUAAGUUAGAGCCCACCUCCCUUGCAGCAUGUUCAAUUCAUCGGUAAUGUUGGAUGUUCUUCACCUCGGACGGUCAUUCUGAUAAGUGAUAACCAGGGCAGUUCUCUUACAUUGUGAUGGGUAGAUUAUGCAGCAAGAGAUGUGACUGUUGGGUUUGAAGAUGAAAUGCAAAACUGAGCCCUCUUUUUCUUACGAUCCUUAUUUCCCCUCUCUCUACAACAACAACAACAACAACAACAACAACAAAGCCUUUAGUCCCCAACAAGUUGGGGUAAGCUAGAGGUGAAACCCAUAAGAUCUCACGCCAACUCAUGGCUCUGGCAAAUGGAUAGCAAGCUUCCACGCACCCCUGUCCAUAACUAGUUCUUUGGUGAUACUCCAAUCCUUCAGGUCUCUCUUAACGGACUCCUCCCAUGUCAAAUUCGGUCUACCCCGACCUCUCUUGACAUUCUCCUCACGCUAUGCACUGGAGCUUCUGGGGGCCUGCGCUGAAUAUGCUCAAACCAUCUCAGACGAUGUUGGACAAGCUUCUUUUCNNNNNNNNNNNNNNNNNNNNNNNNNNNNNNNNNNNNNNNNNNNNNNNNNNNNNNNNNNNNNNNNNNNNNNNNNNNNNNNNNNNNNNNNNNNNNNNNNNNNNNNNNNNNNNNNNNNNNNNNNNNNNNNNNNNNNNNNNNNNNNNNNNNNNNNNNNNNNNNNNNNNNNNNNNNNNNNNNNNNNNNNNNNNNNNNNNNNNNNNNNNNNNNNNNNNNNNNNNNNNNNNNNNNNNNNNNNNNNNNNNNNNNNNNNNNNNNNNNNNNNNNNNNNNNNNNNNNNNNNNNNNNNNNNNNNNNNNNNNNNNNNNNNNNNNNNNNNNNNNNNNNNNNNNNNNNNNNNNNNNNNNNNNNNNNNNNNNNNNNNNNNNNNNUUCCGGUUUCUAUGGUGCUGCCAGCCGCCGCCAGUCCAUUGCCUUGGAUUUGGUUGUGGCGUGGCUGGGAACCGUAAGGCGUGUCUGAUGCGUCAUCCACAUUGUGAGGUUUGGUCGGUCGAGGCCAGGUAUGAGCAGCUCCUGAGACUGUCUAAGUUACUCACCACUAUGACUAGCUAUGGUCAUGUUGCUUGGCCAUUUGACCCUUUUUUUUAAAAGAGAGGGGCGAUGAUGAUGCCUGUGGCUGAAAUAAUUAUGUAUUGAGCAAUCAAGACAGCCAUAAUAGGGGCCCCAAAUGGGUGCUGGCGUUGGAGAUGCCCGUAAGAGCUCACCCUUCUCUUGCAGCCUGUUCAAUUCAUGGCUAAUGUUGGAUGUUCUGCGCCUUGGAUGGUCAUUCUGAUGAGUGAUAACCAGGGCAGUUCAAUUACAUCGCGAUGGGUAGGUUAUGCAGCAAGAGACGUGUGUUGGGCUUCAAGAUGAAAGGCAAAACUGAGCCCUCUUGCUACGCUACAAAUACUCAGUUUUUCCUUCUCCACUGUACAUUGUUUUAAUUUUCUAUUCCUCUCUAUUGUGUUGAUGUGAGAUCCGGAUCUGGAUUGAUAUCUUCUCUUGGUGAUGAACCCAACCACCCUAGCUUUACUUGGGUUGGUUUCUAGUUGGCAUCGUUUUUGCCUUUCUAAUUGUACAUACUAUAUAUGUGUCAAACGGUUGCCCUUUUUUCCUCCAAUGCUUGUAGCUAUUGGCAGUUCUAUUCAACUAGUUAACGAGAAGCUAUUUUCUUGCUUAUCUUGUCCUUCCAGAUGCUUCUUCAAAGACAAAGUUUUGAUCUGUUAUGUCUCUGUUUUCUAUAAACUGAAGCUCAGAUUACCUUCGUAUUUGUUUUGGUCAGAACAGACAUUUUUUUAUGAUUCUCUAUGCUAUUUAAUUCAGUGGUAAUUAUUCUAUUCUUUAGCUGCUGCUGUCAAUAUUAACUGCCACAUUUCUGAUGCAUUAGCAUGGUGCAGAUCCCUUGCACGGAUUCUAAAUGAGUGUCAAGUAAAUUUGUCAACUGCAAAAGUGUAUUUGUUAAAAAGGCUUAUAUAUUUUGUCUUAUCAUAACUGAAUGUCCUCCUGGAGCUUUUGCUUGGGUCAUUUGGGAUUUAUAUGUUGGCGGUUGGCCCCCUUCUCAUGUUGGAAUAGUAUUGCCACUAUUCAAUGUUACAUGUCUGACUAUUUAGCAUUAGAACCCCAUUUUUCAUCGGAUAAACGGGCAAGCUGCAUUUCCUGUUUUCUGUUUGUAUUAUACGCAUCCCUUUUUGCAAACUUAUGCUUUUCUUCUGUUUCAAAAUGGAAAGUUUAUGUCAUCCUGUUUUUAUUAGGCUUGUAGUUACUCCUUUUAUCUGAAGUGAACAAUUUGGAAGGUUUAUGUUACCCUGUUCUUAUUUGGCUUGCAGUGACUCUUUUUUUCUGAAGUGAGCAAAUGUAAAUUGCUUCUUUUUGCCAGUAAUACGGCCAUCAGUGCAGUGUUCCAAAUUAACUUCUGAACACAGCAUAUUUGUUUCUGUUGUGUGUUGAUGAGUAUUAUUCUUUUCUGAAUGGCUAUGAUGAUUUCCGCCCCUUGGUGUUGGAGAUCUUUCAAUGUAUCCUGCGAUAGAGAUGCUUUCACGUCUCCUAGGUUGGUUCCAUUCAACUUUGCCCAGUUAGACAGUUGGUCGUUAAACUAGGAGGCCUUGCUCUGCACUAAGUUACUAGUUGUGGUAAUUUGUUGCUGGACAGAGGGAGGGAGAGGGAGAGAGAUAUUUUAUUUGUUUAUGGUACCACUUCAUUCAUUCAAAUAGUACUCCCCAAAAACUUUCCCAGGAUUUUGUACCACCUGAAGCAUUUCCCAACUUUGGUGAUUCAUGGCGGGUUAAAUCUGAGCCAUUCAUUCAAAUAGUACUCCCCAAAAUUUCUCAGGAUUUUGUGAACUAUUCCUCAUGUGUUCUAAUCGCCCUCCAGCUGCUGAUACUGUGCUUAGCUGCAGAUGUUUUGUAUCUGAUCCAACCUACUUUUCACCCUUAACUGUUGCAUGCGCAAAGGGAUCUAUCCAUCUCUUUAUCAGGGGCAAUGAUGAUCAAACUUGGCUGACAAUAAACCUGUCUUCGAUUAUUCGAGGAGCCAUGGGUAUAAAAAACACGCUCUCCACUCUUUUGUGACCUUUCAUUCUGACCGAAUAUUGAUGGCUCUGUUGAGUGAUAACCAGCAGAGCUUGACUUCAGUGGCGGGGGUUGAUCUGGUGAAUGAAGAGGGUGGGGCUAGGUUGUAUGAUCUAUCAAAGGCGAAUAUGAGCCCUCUCAGUUCAACUAAUACUGUUCCCUGCUAUACAGUAUGGUUUACACAUUUAUUUAUUCCUAUCGCCUUUUUAUGAGUAGAGUGAUAAAUUGUCAUGGUUGUGGCAUUGGCCCAUCUCACUAAGAUUGGCUAACGCACAGGUCACCUCUUGUGGUGUUUGGUUUGUCUUCUCAUGAUUUUGUCGAGGGAACCAGUUUGGUGCAUUCGGGCUUUGCUCAAGCUCGUCUCACUGUGGUGGUCCUAGUACUAGUAGUGGUUGAAUGUGUUUACUCCCUUUUCAUGGGGUUAAAUAUGUGAAACAUGAUCUGUGCAUGUCCUCCUUUACUACCAACAACAACAACAACAACAACAAAGCAUUUAGUCCCAAACAAGUGGGGUAGGCUAGAGCUGAAACACAAUCUCGCAACCAACUCAUGGUUCUGGCACAUGGAUAGCUAGCUUCCAUGCACCCCUGUCCAUGGCUAGUUCUCUGGCGAUAUUCCAUGUCCCCCUGUACUACCCCACCCCUGUCCUGUCCAUGGCUAGUUCUUUGGUCAUUUUCCAUGUUCUUUACUACCCAUAUUAAAUUUUAGGUAGUUCUUUUGGUAGUGAUGUACAUUCAAGUUGGCAAGUUGUCAACUUCUUUUCUACUGUUUUGGUCCAGCACUGCAACUGCUAACGGCCCUCAAGGAAUAAUAUUUGAACGGUUUGCUUUCUGCUGAUGACCAAUUGACCAUUUUAAUGCUUAUGGAAGCCAAUACGUGAAAAAACACAAUGUUGUCGUAAGCCUGUAUCUACCUUUUAUAAUCUCUUGUUGCAAAAAUACCAUGACUACCUUUUAUAAAUUGGCCAACUCUGAGACUCCCGCCCAAUAAAGUUCUGAGUAAAAUGAGUGUUUCCUUCCCAAAAUUUGAACUGAUCUUUUCCUUUUUGAGAAUUUGUAUUUCUUGCUUGCUCGCAUCCAUGUAUACAUAAAAGAUAUGUUGAGAGUUCGGUUAUGAUAUUAGUUCUUUCGGUAAAAUCAUGGUCUGGUGGAUGCAAAGGACUGUUUUGCAAGUUUAUAUUUUCGCUUUUUUUGUACACAUUUUGUUGGUUUUGCAGUAUGUCAACCAGUUCUGUUGUUUUAGGAACAGUACUCCAGCCACACUUAAUUCUUGUCUUCUGUUUUGUUUUUCCUUUUCUGUUCUUCCUUUUUCUUGAAUGGCUAUGAUAAUUCUGAUGUCCCUUGGAUGGUUUUUGAAACUAUCUUAUUUGCUUAUUUCAAUUGCUAUUUGACUUGAUAAUUUCAUUCUUCUAUUGUACUCUUUAUCUACUUAUCAGUUUGUACUUUUGGUUUCUCUUUACUUCUUUACUGGUUUCAACUUAAGGGUCGUAUAGGGCAAGUUCAGCUGUCAAGAUUACUGUUUUCUUCGUGUCAUGUUCAUGAAUGGCUGUGAUGAUAUAACCUCCCUGUGAGGGCUUCUAUCUAACACCUUAAUUGAUUUACUUGGUGCUAAACUAGGAUGGCUUGUGUCACAGCAAGUAACCAGUUUAGUGACCAACUAUUAUUCCCUAAAGGGCAGCCUGGUGCACGGAGCUCCUGCUUGCGCAGGGUCCGGGGAAGGGUCCGAUCGCUUUGGGUCUAUAGUACUCAGCCUUUCCCUACAUUUCUGCAAGAGGCUGUUUCCAGGACUCGAACCCAUGACCUCAAGGUUACAAGGCUACAGCUUUACCGCUGCGCCAAGGCUCCCCUUCUUAACUGUUAUUCCCUCCGUUCACAAAUAUAAAUGUUCAUAGUCAUUCUACCAGAAAUUCAGUUAUAGUGUUGAGAUGGGAGUGUAUCUGAGCCAUUUACUUAUACAUGUCCCAGUUUUUGUGUCCACCAGUUCAUGAUUUGCUCCUGAUAUAGUGAUUAUUUCUGCUUUUACCGAUUCUCAUGUUGUUUCUGGUCAUCUUGCGCUCUUUGACUAUUGGCUUCUCUGUUAUUCUCUUUGUGGGAUUUGCGCCUAAGUGCUGUUGAUGGCGAUGAUGAGUAAGGCUCAGUCAGAGGUGUAUCGAGAUCAGAUACCAUCACUUGUUUUUAUGGGUAUGGUUUUGGGUUAGGGUUUUGUGUGACUAGGUGGAAGCGUGCAAAUCGGGACGGCUUGCUUUCUGUGAGCAACCAUUUGAAUGCUGAAAUGUCACACAGGGGUGUAAGGGCAUCUGCAGCACGGAUCACCAAGUGUAUUGGAUACCGAGUGGGUUUUUGAAUAAAUACUGUUUCUACAUUUUGUUGUUAUGUAUAUUUUUAAAUAUUAUUGGUUUGAUUAUUCUCAAUCUAUCAAUGGUUUAUAGCAGUAUUGGGAUCUCACUGUAAUAUAUGUUAUAAUCUACGGCACUUACAAGAUAUGCUCAUAGCAAACUGGAUUUUGUGCUAUUUUACACUUGCAUACUCAGAAUGCUUUAAUUUGCUAGUGCAUCAAGAGGUUCUGCUUUAUUCGAAUAGAAAGCAAUCCAGUGUGCUGAGAGGGCCCUGGGAAGCGGCAGAGGGCUUCACAUCUUUUGUUCAAACUAUGUUAUUAUUUGCAGCUGUGAGUCCUCUGUUAGUUGCAUGUUGUGUUUCUAUGCUCAGCGUUCCCGUUUAUUCGUUCCUGCAUUUUAUUUGAACUUAAGUGUACUCUACAUCUUUGAUCUCCCAUGUAGUUAAUUCCUUAGCUUUCUAGGUGAGUUCUGAUGAUGCGCUCUCAUGUAUUCUGGUGAGGUAAUAACAAGUGCCUUGGAGCAGCAAUAAAGCUUUUUUUCUUUAUAUGGCCGCCCUUCUCUGUACUGAUGCCUGUUCAAGUCAUCAUAUGUACAAGUGUUGGUGGUGCUGUAAUUCAUAUGAUCAAUUUGGAAAUUGUCACAUUUGGAUGCAACAGAGUGUCAGUGCAUAUGAGCAUUGAGAUGGCUAGAAGAGUAAUUGCCAUGCCAGUGGCUUGGAAUGUAAUUUUGAUAGCUAAUGUCAGUGGAUUGGCUUUAUGCAUUAACCCUCAAUGUAACUCCCAAGUUAUCAUCGUCAACAUCUUCAGAGAGGGUGGUCCGCUCCAGUCUGAUCCAGAGGUCCCAGUAAAUAUCACAUAACUAUUUGUACAAUACACAUUUACAGAGUUUCCUGCUAUGGUCAUGAUAUGGGCUGUUGACUUACAAUCCAACAACCAUGUUAGAGCAACUCCAAUGCGGUGACCCAAAUGUACACGCGUUUGGGUCGGCCGAGCGGAUGGGUGCGUUCACUUUUUUAUUUGGGUUGGGUGGUGCGCUCAACGGGUGGGAGACCCAAACCUGCGAGCGGCAUUAAAAAAAAACUUAGUAGAUAUGCGGCCAAAACAGUAAACUUGUCGCCCAAAGUUCACUUAAACAUUAAUGGGCGCGUCUACUGGGCGGCCGGCUGCCCAGUAGAGCGAUCCAGCGGCCAGUCAAAUAAGGUAAGUAUCUGUCCCUUUCAUUGUCAGAAAAAGAAAACAAAGGAAACAGCCACCUGUCCUACCGUUUGGGCAGCCGUUGCAUGCAUGCGUCUAGUGUUUGCAUGCCGAUGCAUUAAUGUUCCUCACGUUCGUUUCUUGUGCAUUAAUUUUUGAUUUUCAAAAUUAUAAAAGACAUAUCUUCUAAACCGCGUGUUGAAAUUCAGAUCCGUUUUCACCGUUGAAACCCUCGCGACGUGCUCUUCAAAAGUAGAUCCCGCAUGGCGAUGUUUCCACGAACUAGUCUUCCUGCCAAUUAAACAUCAAUAUGUGUGCAACUAGACUACAUGCUGCGCCAACUGAGCAUAUGUGUGUCAAUAGUCCUUCUGUCAAUUAAAUAUUAAUGUGUGUACAACUAGACUACAUUCCCGCGUCAAUUGAGCAUAUGUGUGUGUCAAUAGUCUUGCCAACUAAAUAUCAAUGUGUGUGCAACUAGAUUACAUUCCCGCGCCAACUGAGCAUAUAUGUGUGUAACUAGUCCUGUCAACUAAAUAUCAAUGUGUGUGCAACUAGACUACAUUGCCGCGUUAAUUACGCAUAUGUGUGUGCAACUAAUGUCCUGCCAACUAAACAUCAAUAUAUGUGUAAUUAGACUAAAUUACAAGCCAAUUGAGCAUAUGCAUGUGCAACUAGUCCUUCUAGCAACUAAACAUCAAUGUGUGUGCAACUAGACUACAUUAUAAGCCAACUAAACAUUAAUGUGUGUAUAAACUAGACUAAAUUACAAGCCAACUGAUUUUAAAAAAAGUUGCACGAUAUAGUACUAAAGUUGCACAAUGCAAUACUUUAGUUGCACCAUAUAGCAUCAAAAUUGGCAUCAAAAAAAUUUCGUCGAAACAUAUCCAUGCGGGAUCUAGUUUUAAAGAUCUCGUCGCGAUGAAUCUAACGAUGAAAACGGAACUGAAUUCCGACAUGUGGUUUAAAAGAUAUGACUUUAAAAGAAUUUGAAAUCCCGAAAUAAAAGUACGUGGAUCUGUUUUCUCUAACUGAUGAGACUAGUGUGAACAUAUUUAAUGCCAGCACCCACAUGCGCUACGAGACAAAAAAAUACGCAUGCAUGUGUGUGACAGACGCGGCCGCUCGAAAACACCAAAAAGCGCACGGCCACUUUUUAGAUUUUGGGAACAUUAAUAAAACUUAAAAAAAGUUUGCUCCGUUAGCACGUUGCCCUGUUGCCCAAAGUUCACUUAAACAUUAAUAAAACUUGAAAAAAGGUUUGCUCCGUCAGGACGUUGCCUUAGGCGUCGUCCUCCUCCUCCCUGAGGCCGGUGAGGUCAAUGAACAUCGGCUCCAGCCUAGCCCAUGGAAAGGUGGUAUCCCACGUCGCACGCGCUGCCUCCACCGUUUGUCCCGUUGGCUGUGGGGUUGGUGGCUGCACUGCUACUGCAUGGGCGUGCUCUUCCUCCGCCUCCCGUGCCAAGCGACGCUCCAGCUCCAAUUGUUGCUCGAUGUUGGCGUGCGCCCUCCAUUGUUGGAGGUACGCGACUUCUUGCUCUGGCAUCCCCCAAGCCACACGCGCGGCGCUGACCCACUCACGGAGCUGCCCGGUUCACUGGUAGACCUUUGGCUGGUGCUUCAUGGAAUGUGGUUUUGGUUUGGGGAGGAACGUCCUGCGAUGGCAGUAGCGAAGGGAGGAUGACACAAUCGCCGUGGCAGCCGCGGACAAUGUGAGGGCCUCCUCCAUGCCAACCCAGCGCGUGUCCUUGCGCUGGCUCUUCUUCAGGGCGCGCUGGAUGGUGGCCUCAACGGCCUAGUAGGUCGCAUGCACCUCCUCCUCCUCCGACAAGGAAGGGGGGAGGGUGCACAACAUGGUCGAUGUGGAUGCCGCGCGCGGCGCUCCUCCUCAUGCUCUAGCGCAAACCAGCGGUCCUAGUUGGGUAGUCUGGCGCAUAGGCACGCGUCGCGCACUGAUCCGACAUCAGGAGCUCGCAUCGCCGGCGAACAUCCUCGGCAUGCGCCCUCGCCGAGCACGGCACCGCCAGAACGGGGAUCCUUUGUGGGUCCAGAUGCCAACUGUGCGACAAGCUUACGUCUGGAUAUUGCAGGGGGCAACGGGACUGCCAGUGCCUGAUAGAGGCUAAGGUGUCCCGUCUUUCGAUGAGAUGAUGGAUAUCGCUUUGGUGGAAGUCGACUUUGACGAUCCGACUACGAACGUGCGAGGACGUCGCGCCUUAGCAAUCGCUAAACCAACUCCGAGAGGUUAUUGACCACGCCGGAGCACGAUCAACCUGACCACGAGGGUUUGUUUCCUGCGAGCAAACGAAGAACAAGCAAGAAACUAAGAUUGCAAUCUGGAUAUUGCGAAUAUAAGAUGAAAGCUUUAUUGAUCAAGGUGGGGUUCUUGACGCCUUUGUCUGGUCGUUGAACACAAACGAAGUACGCGAAGUUGCAGCUAUGGCGAACUUUUAAUCUAAACAAAACCCAAAGUCUAAACGAUGCCCUAAGGGCUGUAUAUAUGGAGGAAGAGGGGGGGAAUUUCGUGGCCCUUGGUGGAGGGGUCCGAAAUCAACCCUAUCUCUUGUUUCCCCACACAUACGGACUCUAAAAAUAGCCUAUACUUAUGUAUUUCGAAAUUACAUGGGCCUGGCCCAAUAAUAAGGUGACGCAGCACCUAAAAUAGCCUCGGGACGAAAUUUAUGAAGUGGCAUCUUGUAUAUUUCGUCCAAGGCUUCAUGCACCCAUUAUGGUGGCUUCAAAGUCCUGAAAUCAUCACUUGUAACCCCGUUCUUGUUUCCCUUGCGCAUGCCAUCAUCUCCAUGCUUGUUCUUGCUCCAAUGUUCAUCCUUCUCCAAGCUAGGCCCUUCAUUUGUAAGCAAAACAAAUGUAUCCAAUUUAGGCAGCAUCAUAUUCUCAUGAACAUUAGAAUCAUUACCAAGAAACGAAAGUACCUGGUAAUUUAGUUGGCGUGCACGAGCUCUAGUAAUUGGUCCAGUAUGUAUAGCAGCAGGGGCUGUGGGUGUAACAAUUGUAUUGAUGUCCUCAUCAAAUAGCCUAUACUUAUGUAUUUCGAAAUUACAUGGGCCUGGCCCAAUAAUAAGGUGACGCAGCACCUAAAAUAGCCUCGGGACGAAAUUUAUGAAGUGGCGUCUUGUAUAUUUCGUCCAAGGCUUCAUGCACCCAUUAUGGUGGCUUCAAAGUCCUGAAAUCAUCACUUGUAACUCCGUUCUUGUUUCCCUUGCGCAUGCCAUCAUCUCCAUGCUUGUUCUUGCUCCAAUGUUCAUCCUUCUCCAAGCUAGGCCCUUCAUUUGUAAGCAAAACAAAUGUAUCCAAUUUAGGCAGCAUCAUAUUCUCAUGAACAUUAGAAUCAUUACCAAGAAACGAAAGUACCUGGUAAUUUAGUUGGCGUGCACGAGCUCUAGUAAUUGGUCCAGUAUGUAUAGCAGCAGGGGCUGUGGGUGUAACAAUUGUAUUGAUGUCCUCAUCAUCUCUCACAAAACGCCUAUAGAAUCCAGCGAGGCCAAGAAAACUCCUCACUUGUGUGACCCUUUUGGGUUGCGGCCAACUCUGAAUAGCUUCAAUCUUGGCUUUAUCAACUUCAAUUCCCUGUGGAGUAACAACAUAGCCAAGAAAAGAUACUCGGUCGGUGCAAAAGGUGCACUUCCCAAGGUUACCAAACAAACGUGCAUCACGUAGAGCAAUAAAAACAGCACGUAAAUGUUCCAAAUGUUCCUCCAAAGAUCUGCUAUAAAUCAAUAUGUCAUCAAAGUAAACUACCACAAAUCGUCCAAUGAAAGCACGUAAAACUUCGUUCAUUAAUCUCAUGAAAGUACUAGGUGCAUUAGUUAACCCAAAAGGCAUGACUAACCACUCAUAUAAUCCAAACUUAGUUUUAAAUGCUGUUUUCCAUUCAUCUCCCAAUUUCAUACGAAUUUGAUGGUAGCCACUACGCAAAUCAACUUUGGAGAAUAUUGUAGAGCCACUCAAUUCAUCAAGCAUAUCAUCUAGCCUAGGAAUAGGAUGACGAUAACAAAUAGUAAUAUUAUUAAUGCCUCUACAAUCAACACACAUACGUGAUGUACCAUCCUUUUUCGGCACUAGAAUAAUAGGAACAGCACAAGGACUAAGGGAUUCGCGUAUAUAACCUUUGUCGAGAAGCUCUUGUACUUGACGCAUAAUCUCCUUCGUCUCCUCUGGAUUGGUACGGUAUGGUGCACAGUUUGGCAAUGAAGCACCGGGAAUUAAGUCAAUCUGAUGCUCAAUCCCUCGAAUAGGCGGUAAUCCCGGUGGCACGUCUUGUGGAAAAACGUCAGCGAACUCCUGCAAAAUGUUAGUGACAGCAGGAGGCAAAGAGGAAGGCACGUCCUCGAAUGAAAAUAAUGCCUCUUUGCACACAAAAGCAUAGCAAACAGAUUUGCUGAAAUCUAGCUCAUCAAUAUCAGAUUUGGUGGCAAAUAAACAUGCACUUUUCAAUUUAAUUUCAGAAGCAACACUAGAUGAUUUAUUAUUAGGCUUCAUUUGUUGCUCAAAUUCUUUUGCCACAAUCUGAUUUUCACUCUUAUUCUUCUCCUGUUGUGCUUUAUUAGCUCUAUUAAUAUCAUCUUUCAAAAUGGAAUCAGGAGUCAUAGGAAGCAAAGUAAUAUUUUUAUCCUUAUGAACAAGAGUAUAGUGAUUGUUUCUACCAUGGUGUACAGAAUUUUUAUUAAAUUGCCAUGGUCUACCAAGUAAUAAGGAACAUGCUUGCAUAGGUACCACAUCACAAUCAACAUAAUCAGCAUAUGUAGAGAUACUAAAAUGCACACGAACAGUACGUGUUACCUUAACCUUGCCGCUGUUGUUGAACCAUUGGAUGUAGUAAGGAUGUGGAUGUGGUCUUGUGGUGAGAGAAAGCUUCUCCACCAUCUCCAUGCUAGCCAAGUUGUUGCAGCUCCCUCCGUCUAUUAUGACGCGCACAGAACGUUCCUUCACAACUCCCUUGGUAUGGAACAAAUUGUGCCUCUGAUUUUGCUCAGCUUGUGUGACCUGCACACUCAAAACACGUUGAGCAACUAAACAUUCAUACCUGUCAGCGUCUUCAGGAGCCAUGUAUUGCGUCUCAUGAUCAGAAUCAUCUCCACCAUGUUCCUCACGUGUAAUAAGAGCCAAAGUCUCCUCAUCAUAGUCACUAGUGGACUCAUAUCCACCAUCCGCGAUAGCAAUCAUCACACGCGGAGAUUUGCAUUCUCUCGCAUAAUGACCUCCUCCCUUACAACGACGACAAAUAAUAUCACUUGUGUGCCCUGUUGAUGCCAUGGAAGAAGAAGAACGCUGUGCAGGCCCCGCAGGUGCGCUCUUGGCAGAUAAUGGUGGUUGUGCCUGUUUUCUUGUAUCACGGCUGGAGGUGGCACCGGAUGGAGGUGCUGGUGCAGUUGAAGUAGAAGAUGCACGUGGUGUCCAUGAUGAAGGUCGGCCUGCAGAAAAGUUAGUUCGCCCCAAUGCUUGUCGAUCCUGCACUUCACGUUCAGCUUUACAAGCAAGAUGGAAUAAACGAGUGAUAUUAGUAUACUCCUUAUAGUCUAGAAUGGUCUGAAUCUCUCUAUUUAAUCCACCCAGAAAACGUGCAAGCAUAGCUUCAUUCUCAUCAACAAUACCACAUCUAAUCAUGCCAGUUUGUAAUUCCUGAUAAUAUUCUUCUACAGAAUUUUUCCCUUGUCUUAAACGCUGCAAUUUUUGAAGCAAUUCACGUUGAUAAUAUGGUGGAACCCAACGCGUACGCAUAGCAGUUUUCAAAGCAGCCCAAGUAGUUGGAAUAGGAUAUAAUCUACAAUGUUCAGACCACCAUACACAUGCAAAACUAGUGAAAGCACAAACGGCAGCAGCAACUCGUCUCUCCUCAGGAUAUUGUAAACAUGUAAAUCGUUGUUCAGUUUCUAACUCCCAAGUAAGAUAAAUUCUACCCUUAUCUCCAGCAAGUUUAUAUUUAGCAUUCAUGCGCUCAAUGUUUUCCUUAGUUAACUCAUGCAUUUUUAAAAUCAAUUCAGCACGUUGUUUAGCAUCAAAAUUAACCUUCUCCGAAGAUGGAAGAGGCAACAAAUCAAUAGGUGCACGAGGUAGGAAACCUUACACAACUUCAAAAGGGCACAUCUUAGUAGUAGAAUGCAAUGAACGAUUAUAAGCAAAUUCAAUAUGAGGCAAGCAUUCCUCCCACAUUUUCUUAUUAUUCUUCAAAACAGCCCUAAGCAUAGUAGACAACGUUCUAUUGACUACUUCAGUUUGUCCAUCAGUUUGGGGGUGACAAGUAGUACUAAAAAGCAGUUUAGUCCCCAACUUAGCCCAUAAACAUCUCCAAAAGUGGCUAAGAAAUUUAGUAUCACGAUCUGAAACAAUAGUAUUUGGCACACCAUGCAAGCGAAUAAUUUCACGAAAGAACAAAUCAGCAACAUUAACAACAUCAUCGCUUUUAUGACAUGGUAUAAAGUGUGCCAUUUUCGAGAAUCUAUCCACGACAACAAAUAUGCUAUCCCUCCCCUUCUUUGUUCGAGGUAAACCUAAAACAAAGUCCAUAGAUAUAUCCUCCCAAGGAACACUAGGUACAGGCAAAGGCAUAUAUAAACCAUGAGGAUUGAGGCGUGACUUAGCUUUUUGACAUGUAGUGCAGCGAGCAAUAAAACGCACAACAUCCCGUCUCAUCUUUGGCCAAAAGAAAUGUGUAGCAAGUACGUCCUCCGUCUUCUUCACGCCAAAGUGUCCCAUUAAUCCUCCUCCAUGCGCCUCCUGCAACAACAAAAGACGAACGGAGCUAGCUGGAAUGCAUAGCUUGUUAGCACGAAACACAAAUCCAUCGUUAACAACAAACUUGUUCCACAUUCUUCCUUCUUUACAAUUAUGCAUUACAUCUUUAAAAUCAGCAUCAUGCACAUAUUGAUCUUUGAUGGUCUCCAAACCAAAUAUUUUGAAGUCAAGUUGUGAAAGUAUAGUAUAGCGACGAGACAAAGCAUCAGCAAUAACAUUUUCUUUUCCCUUCUUGUGUUUAAUGACAUAAGGGAAAGUCUCAAUGAAUUCAACCCAUUUAGCAUGUCUACGAUUCAGUUUAGCUUGACUUUUAAUAUGUUUCAAUGAUUCAUGAUCAGAAUGUAUAACAAAUUCUUUGGGCCAUAAAUAAUGUUGCCAUGUUUCUAAAGUCCGAACAAGAGCAUAUAAUUCUUUAUCAUAAGUAGAAUAAUUCAGACUAGGCCCACUCAAUCUUUUAGAAAAGUAUGCAACAGGUUUGCCAUCUUGUAAUAACACACCUCCUAUUCCAAUUCCACUAGCAUCACAUUCAAGCUCAAAAGUCUUAUUAAAAUCAGGAAGUUGGAGUAAAGGAGCAUGUGUCAACUUAUCUUUCAAUACCGUGAAGGCUUCUUCCUGUGCGGUACCCCAAAGAAAAGGCACAUCUUUCUUUGUAAGCUCAUUGAGAGGUGCAUCAAUGGUGCUGAAAUCUCUCACAAAACGCCUAUAGAAUCCAGCGAGGCCAAGAAAACUCCUCACUUGUGUGACCGUUUUGGGCUGUGGCCAACUCUCAAUAGCUUCAAUCUUGGCUUUAUCAACUUCAAUUCCCUGUGGAGUAACAACAUAGCCAAGAAAAGAUACUCGGUCGGUGCAAAAGGUGCACUUCCCAAGGUUACCAAACAAACGUGCAUCACGUAGAGCAAUAAAAACAGCACGUAAAUGUUCCAAAUGUUCCUCCAAAGAUCUGCUAUAAAUCAAUAUGUCAUCAAAGUAAACUACCACAAAUCGUCCAAUGAAAGCACGUAAAACUUCGUUCAUUAAUCUCAUGAAAGUACUAGGUGCAUUAGUUAACCCAAAAGGCAUGACUAACCACUCAUAUAAUCCAAACUUAGUUUUAAAUGCUGUUUUCCAUUCAUCUCCCAAUUUCAUACGAAUUUGAUGGUAGCCACUACGCAAAUCAGCUUUGGAGAAUAUUGUAGAGCCACUCAAUUCAUCAAGCAUAUCAUCUAGCCUAGGAAUAGGAUGACGAUAACGAAUAGUAAUAUUAUUAAUGCCUCUACAAUCAACACACAUACGUGAUGUACCAUCCUUUUUCGGCACUAGAAUAAUAGGAACAGCACAAGGACUAAGGGAUUCGCGUAUAUAACCUUUGUCGAGAAGCUCUUGUACUUGACGCAUAAUCUCCUUCGUCUCCUCUAGAUUGGUACGGUAUGGUGCACGGUUUGGCAGUGAAGCACCGGGAAUUAAGUCAAUCUGAUGCUCAAUCCCUCGAAUAGGCGGUAAUCCCGGUGGCACGUCUUGUGGAAAAACGUCAGCGAACUCCUGCAAAAUGUUAGUGACAGCAGGAGGCAAAGAGGAAGGCACAUCCUCGAAUGAAAAUAAUGCCUCUUUGCACACAAAAGCAUAGCAAACAGAUUUGCUGAAAUCUAGCUCAUCAAUAUCAGAUUUGGUGGCAAAUAAACAUGCACUUUUCAAUUUAAUUUCAGAAGCAACACUAGAUGGUUUAUUAUUAGGCUUCAUUUGUUGCUCAAAUUCUUUUGCCACAAUCUGAUUUUCACUCUUAUUCUUCUCCUGUUUUGCUUUAUUAGCUCUAUUAAUAUCAUCUUUCAAAAUGGAAUCAGGAGUCAUAGGAAGCAAAGUAAUAUUUUUAUCCUUAUGAACAAGAGUAUAGUGAUUGUUUCUACCAUGGUGUACAGAAUUUUUAUCAAAUUGCCAUGGUCUACCAAGUAAUAAGGAACAUGCUUGCAUAGGUACCACAUCACAAUCUACAUAAUCAGCAUAUGUAGAGAUACUGAAAUGCACACGAACAGUACGUGUUACCUUAACCUUGCCGCUGUUGUUGAACCAUUGGAUGUAGUAAGGAUGUGGAUGUGGUCUUGUGGUGAGAGAAAGCUUCUCCACCAUCUCCAUGCUAGCCAAGUUGUUGCAACUACCUCCGUCUAUGAUGACGCGCACAGAACGUUCCUUCACAACUCCCUUGGUAUGGAACAAAUUGUGCCUCUGAUUUUGCUCAGCUUGUGUGACCUGCACACUCAAAACACGUUGAGCAACUAAACAUUCAUACCUGUCAGCGUCUUCAGGAGCCAUGUAUUGCGUCUCAUGAUCAGAAUCAUCUCCACCAUGUUCUUCACGUGUAAUAAGAGCCAAAGUCUCCUCAUCAUAGUCACUAGCGGACUCAUAUCCACCAUCCGCGGUAGCAAUCAUCACACGCGGAGAUUUGCAUUCUCUCGCAUAAUGACCUCCUCCCUUACAACGACGACAAAUAAUAUCACUUGUGUGCCCAGUUGAUGCCAUGGAAGAAGAAGAACGCUGUGCAGGCCCCGCAGGUGCGCUCUUGGCAGAUAAUGGUGGUUGUGCCUGUUUUCUUGUAUCACGGCUGGAGGUGUCACCGGAUGGAGGUGCUGGUGCAGUUGAAGUAGAAGAUGCACGUGGUGUCCAUGAUGAAGGUCGGCCUGUAGAAAAGUUAGUUCGCCCCAAUGCUUGUCGAUCCUGCACUUCACGUUCAGCUUUACAAGCAAGAUGGAAUAAACGAGUGAUAUUAGUAUACUCCUUAUAGUCUAGAAUGGUCUGAAUCUCUCUAUUUAAUCCACCCAGAAAACGUGCAAGCAUAGCUUCAUUCUCCUCAACAAUACCACAUCUAAUCAUGCCAGUUUGUAAUUCCUGAUAAUAUUCUUCUACAGAAUUUUUCCCUUGUCUUAAACGCUGCAAUUUUUGAAGCAAUUCACGUUGAUAAUAUGGUGGAACCCAACGUGUACGCAUAGCAGUUUUCAAAGCAGCCCAAGUAGUUGGAAUAGGAUAUAAUCUACAAUGUUCAGACCACCAUACACAUGCAAAACUAGUGAAAGCACAAACGGCAGCAGCAACUCGUCUCUCCUCAGGAUAUUGUAAACAUGUAAAUCGUUGUUCAGUUUCUAACUCCCAAGUAAGAUAUAUAUCAGGAACAUAUCUACCCUCAAAUGGUGGAAUAUUCAAUUUCAGUUUAGGAAUAUGGACAUCAUCUCGUACCUGAGGUGGUGGUGCAGGCCUACCAUUACGAAUAUAUACCUGAGGUCGACCUGCUGGUGGUGGUACAGGUGGCUGCACGUAGUGUUGAUUUUGAUCAACCUCAUCCGCAUAAUCUUCCACAUAAUCAUCCUCCUCCGCAUCAGCAGCAGGAGCCACAGAAGUAUCAACAGCAGCACCAACAGUUUGGCCAAACGCAAGAGGAACACGGCUUGCUUGGCGGAGGUCUGCUUCGCGACGUGGAGGUAGUCGUUGUUGUUGCUGUUGGAGAGGUGCGUUAGCUGCAGCGGGUGGCGGUGGUGGAAGACGCGCGAGCAAUUCAUUAAACUUGUUAUCGAGCUUUGUUUCGAACGUCUUCUCAAAGCCAGUGAUCUUCUCCAUGGCCUCUUCAAAAUUGUUCAGCACAUCUUGCACCUGUUCAGUCAUCAUUUGCUGAAACUUAUCAUGAAGCUCCUUGUUCGAUAAAUUCUCCCAGUCAAUCUCGUCGGCUUGUGAUCCUGGCAUGGUUAGCAGCAAUAGAAACACACAAGAAUAUGAUCCUACAGACUACGAACAAGUAGUGGUGGUGGGUGUCACAAAUACGUCAAGCAAAUCUCAAAUUCUUACCAGUUCUUACCCAGCAGCAGGCGGUGAUCGGCAACCGUUGUAGUCAAAAACUCUCAAAGCUUGGAAAGUGCGAUUACCAGGGAGAGUCAAACGCACGACGUAGAUGUAUGUGGAGCUGGGAAGGCUUAUAAUAUGGUAGCAAAAAGGGUCAGCAAUAAUCAAUUCAGAGAUGCAAAGUUGAAUAAACGCUCAACGACGGUACUGUGCUGGUCCUAGGCUAGACUGUGCUAGAGACGCGAGCCUAGAACACUAACAAAAUCACGGCGCGGCACGUAAAUAAGGGAAAACACACUCUGGAUUUUUUUUUUCGCUCUUUUUUUUUGCGCUGUUUUUUUUUUGCGAAAAAUCACUAUAAUGGCGAGUGUCUCAAAACUCUUCUUAACUCAAACUGACAGGAUGGGCACGAAAUUUUUUUUGACCAAUUUUUUUUUUGACUGCCCGGACCCAAAAACUGGAAACGGGUCAAAAAAAACUUCCUAUAAUGGCACCUGUCUCAAAACACUCAGAAACACCUAAAAAUAAGAUAGCCAGAAAUUUUUUCGAAAAAUGCGUUUUCGAAAAAUUUUGGGCCUAAACAGAGCGUGGCUACCCGACUCUUUUUUUUUUCCGAAACCUACUCCGGCAAGGAAACACGAAUCGGAAUCUAGAUGGAUCUCGAAAACAAACCUAAUAUGACAAGAACUUGGAUUGGUGGUGGAUAUAUGGUGGUAGAUGGCAGCGAUGGUGGCAUAUGACAGCUGUGGUGGUAUAUGGAUACGGAUUCGAAGCGGUGGCGGAUAAGCGGUGGUGGUAGAUGGCAGGGGCGAUGAUGAUGGUGCGGCGGCGGCGUGACAACUUAUGACCAGAACUCGAAACUCUAAAAGACUAGACUCUAAGACCAGCAACUAGACACGACGAUGCAACCGCAAAUUCAACAAAGCAAAACCCUAAAAAGAUUAUGCAAAGGCUCAGAUUGGUUCGGAUAUGAUGAACUAACCCUAAUUUUUUUUUGUGGCUUUUUCGUGGACUGUAGGUAUGAAGAACAGACUCGAUCUAAACUACGAAAAACUGUAAAAUCUCACCGAGCAACCUGGAAAUCUGAUACCACUUGAUAGAGGCUAAGGUGUCCCGUCUUUCGAUGAGAUGAUGGAUAUCGCUUUGGUGGAAGUCGACUUUGACGAUCCGACUACGAACGUGCGAGGACGUCGCGCCUUAGCAAUCGCUAAACCAACUCCGAGAGGUUAUUGACCACGCCGGAGCACGAUCAACCUGACCACGAGGGUUUGUUUCCUGUGAGCAAACGAAGAACAAGCAAGAAACUAAGAUUGCAAUCUGGAUAUUGCGAAUAUAAGAUGAAAGCUUUAUUGAUCAAGGUGGGGUUCUGUGACGCCUUUGUCUGGUCGUUGAACACAAACGAAGUACGCGAAGUUGCAGCUAUGGCGAACUUUUAAUCUAAACAAAACCCAAAGUCUAAACGAUGCCCUAAGGGCUGUAUAUAUGGAGGAAGAGGGGGGGAAUUUCGUGGCCCUUGGUGGAGGGGUCCGAAAUCAACCCUAUCUCUUGUUUCCCCACACAUACGGACUCUAAAAAUAGCCUAUACUUAUGUAUUUCGAAAUUACAUGGGCCUGGCCCAAUAAUAAGGUGACGCAGCACCUAAAAUAGCCUCGGGACGAAAUUUAUGAAGUGGCAUCUUGUAUAUUUCGUCCAAGGCUUCAUGCACCCAUUAUGGUGGCUUCAAAGUCCUGAAAUCAUCACUUGUAACCCCGUUCUUGUUUCCCUUGCGCAUGCCAUCAUCUCCAUGCUUGUUCUUGCUCCAAUGUUCAUCCUUCUCCAAGCUAGACCCUUCAUUUGUAAGCAAAACAAAUGUAUCCAAUUUAGGCAGCAUCAUAUUCUCAUGAACAUUAGAAUCAUUACCAAGAAACGAAAGUACCUGGUAAUUUAGUUGGCGUGCACGAGCUCUAGUAAUUGGUCCAGUAUGUAUAGCAGUAGGGGCUGUGGGUGUAACAAUUGUAUUGAUGUCCUCAUCAGUGCCACUGUGCUUGGUGGACUGGUAUGUACAACCGCUCCCGCUCCCGCGGUAGCGAGCCGACAACGACGGAGAAAGAGACGCGUGAGAAGCUCACGCCGGCACUAAACUUGCCCUUCUCCUUCCCACUGAAGAAACCCAUGGUUGGCUGGCUGGCUAGGGUUUCUGGUUGCCAGCGAGGGAGCAGGCGUGGCCAGAUGUGGACGGGGCGGUGGAAGUGGAUGGGGCCAGCCCCGCCGCACGCUUGCAUUAAAAAGGACGGGCACACGACAUUUCCACCCAUUGCUAGGUGGGCCCAAGGUAGGUGGGCGCGUCUACUAUGACCGCGUGCGGUGGUUGGGUGGCCGACAUGUGGGGACGCGGCGGACAUGUAGCGGACGCAAACCGGCCCCAAAUUUGGGCCAGAAAUGGAUCGACGCGGACAUCUAGCGGACACGUUUUGGGUUUGAAUCGGCGCGUUGGGUCGGAGUUUUUGUCCGUGAUGACCCAAACAAACACACGCGGAACGAGAUGGGUCGCGCUUAGACUAGUCAUAGUGGGAGUAACUUCGGCAGUAAUAUCGAGUCCAACUCAACAAAAUUGCUUAUGUGGUAAUGAGUUAAUGAGGAGAGAGAUAGUUUCAGUAACUUAGCUAGUUAUUGUAACAUCACAUGUCCCAAUGCAAUAUGAGUCUAUAACCUAAUAAAUGAAUCUUUGCAUGUUACCACACUUAUGUUACUACCCACUAUGAAGGUAGUAACAUAAUCCAGGGAUAUGUGUAUGUUACUAGCGUAUAUUACUCUCCAUUGUGGCCACUUGUAGGGCGUGACCUGCUGUCACCGGGUUUCUGUCCCAACACGACACGUGCACUCGGUGUAACUCUAGUGCGCUAGUCGCCACUCCACUCGACCACUCCCCUCAAGCUGCCUGCCUUCAUCCUUCUUCCCCCCCUAUGCAUCGGAGUAGUAUUAUUUUUGCUAAAUGACCCCUUCUCUGGUCCUUAUUAUUUGCAGCAUCUACAGCCGGACCUGAACCCGGAUCUGGACCGGAGAUCCAUCCGGACCCGGAUCUCUUCUCCCGCCGGGGCCGAACCCUCGGACCAGUCCGGCUGCGAGAGGCCACCGGCCAGGCUCCCGAGCGGCGGACGCGCCGGGCCGCCGCUCAUCGGGGCCAGCCCCUCCCGCCGCGCCGGCUCGCGCAUCGGCUCGGAGGCCCCUCGGGGCUGCCGCCGGUGCGGGAGGCGUCCGCGGCCGUGCAGGCUGCUGGUGCCCGUGGUGCGCUCCGGUCGAGGGCUUGGUCGGGCCGGCGCGGGAUCUGAGCUGCCGUCCAUGGAUUUCUCGCAGCUUGGCUGCGUUUCGCUUUGGAUCCGGUACGGUCCCCCGAUCUCUCUCUCUCUCUCUCUCUCAGACUCUCACACGACACGCGCGCGUAGAGUUCACACCAGUAAAUCCUAAACCGAAUCAGCCGGGCUCUCGUUGCCGCCUCAGUUCCCCAGCGCUGCUACGGUGCCGCCAGCCACCGCCAUUCCAUUUCCAUUGGCUUGGAUUCGGUUGUGGCGUCGGCUGGGAACCGUAGGAUGAUGUCUGAGGUUUGGUCGGUCGAGGCCAGGUAUGAGCAGCUCCUGAGAAGGAUGGAUGAGUGGACGCAUUAGGUGUCGUGAACUAAAACCACGACACUUGGUUUGGAACGGAGGGAGUAUAUUUUUAAACCAAAUCAGGGGAGCUCUCGUUGCCGGAUCGCUGACCUAUCGUCCGGAUGCCCGUCGCGUCAGUUCCCCACCGCUACAGUGCUGCCAGCCACCGUCGUCCCAUUGUCUUGGAUUCGGUUGUGCGUGUCGGCUGGGAACCAUACGGUGUUGUCUGAUGCGUCGUCGGACCGGAGAUUUGGUCGGUCGAGGCCAGGUAUGAGCGGCCCCUGAGCAGGAAGGAAGGAUGGAUGGAUCUAUGGAUAGAUGGAUGUAUGCAUGCAUAUAUGUAUGGAUAUCACUCCGCAAAAAAGAAAAGAAAAAAAUAUGUAUGGAUAUCAUGGUCAUGUUGCUCGGGAGUUCAACCUCCUUUUUGGAAAAAAAAGAGGGGCGAUGCCGAUGAUGAUGACUGUGGCUGAAUUUAUCAUGUCUUGAGCAAUCAAGACAGCUUGGCGAGGUGGGACUAAACAGUGCCAGAAAAUUGGUGUCUGCGUUGGAGUUGGCCUUAGAGCCCACCCUUGCCUCUCUUGCAGCCUGUCCAAUUCAUCGCCAAUGUUGGAUGUUCUUUGCCUUGGAUGGUCAUUCUGAUGAGUGAUAACCAGGGCAGUUCUCUUACAUGGCAAUGGGUGGAUUAUGCAGCAAGAGAUGUGAGUGUUGGGUUUGAAGAUGAAAUGCUAAACUGAGCCCUCUUUUGCUCAGUUCAGUUGCAUUUUGUUUUGGAUUCAGUAUGGGUCCUCCUCACCUCUCUCUCUCUCUCUCUCUCCCUAAAACAAACCAGUCAAGCUCUCAUUGCCGACUUGCUAUCCCAUCGUCCAGGUGGCUGCCACGUCAGUUCCCCGUCUCUAUGGUGCUGCCAGCCACUGCCAUUCCAUUGCCUUGGAUUUGGUUGUGGCGUGGGCUGGGAACCGUAAGGCGUUGUCUGAUGCGUCGUCCACACUGGGAGGUUUGGUCAGUGAGCAGCUCCUGAGACUGAGACUAGUCAUAGUGGGAGUAACUUAGGUUUUAGUUCAACAAAUUGAACUAAAACCACGACAGUAAUUAUGGAACGGAGGGAGUAGUAACAUGCAUGCCACAUAGGCAAAAAAGAUUAUGUGACAAGUAAUUAAAGAGGAUGGAUGGAUGGAUGUGUGCAUGCCUGUAAUGGAUAUCAUGGAUGCGACAAGUUACUUACCACUACGACCAGCCUGAUGGAUGGAUGGAUGGAUGAUGUAUGCAUGCUACUGUGUGAUGAAGAGAUGGAGUUCUUACCAGGGGCGAUGAUGAUGACCGUGGCUGAAAUAAGCAUGUCUUGAGCAAUUAAGACAGCUGUGGCCUAUGGGUACUAAAUUAGAGCACACCCUUACCUCUCUUGCAGCCUGUUCAAUUCAUCGCUAAUGUUGGAUGUUCUGCGCCUUGGACGGUCAUUCUGAUAAAUGAUAACCAGGACAGUUCUUUUACAUCGCGAUGGGUAGAUUAUGCAGCAAGAGAUGUGAGUGUUGGGCUUGAAGAUGAAAGGCAAAACUGAGCCCUCUUUUGCUACGCUACAAAUAUUCGAUUUUACCCUCUACUAUGCACUGUUUUUUCUUUUCUAUUCCUCUCUAUUGCGUUGAUGUGGGUAACGGCCCAUCUGGACUUGGAUUGAUGUCUUCUCUUGGUGAUGAAGCCAACCGCCCUAGCUUGGAUUGAUUUCCAGCUGGCUUUGUUUUUGCCUGUAUAGUUGUACAAACUAUAUAUGUCAAACGCACUAUUGUUUUUGACUUGGAUUUCUACCUUACGUUUUUCUUCUUUUCCAGAAUGGAAAAUUUAUAUUAUCCUGUUUUUAUUUGGCUUGGAGUUGCUCCUUUUAUCUGAAGUGAACAAAUGUAAAUUGCUUCUUUCAUUGCUAGUAAUACAGCCAUCAGCAUAGUGUUCCAAAUUAACUUCUGAACACAAGAUAUUUGUUUCUGUUGAGUGUUGAUGAGUUCUAUUCUUUUCUGAAUGGCUAUGAUGAUUUCCUCGUCUUGGUGUUGAAGAUCUUUCAACAUAUCCUGAGAUAGUGAUGAUUGGUUCCAUUCAACUUUGCCCAGUUAGACAGUUAGUCAUUAUACUAGGAGGGCUUGCUCUGCUGCAAGUUACCAGUUGUGGCUAUUUGUUGCUGGGCGGGGAAAGAGAGAGAGAGAGAGAUGGUAAGGAGAGACCUGAAGGACUGGAAUAUCACCAAAGAACUAGCCAUGGGCAGGGGUGCAUGGAAAUUAGCUAUCCACGUGCCUAUCCCAACUUGUUUGGGACUGAACGGCUUUGUUGUUGUUGUUGUUUGGUACCGAAAGGCCUACCUGAAGCAUUUUCCAACUUUGGUGAUAUAUGGUGGGUUAAAUCUGAGCCAUUCAAGUAAUACUCCAACAUUUUUCUGGAUUUUGCGAACUAUUCGUGCAUGUGUUUGUUAUGACACCUGUGUCUGAUACUUCUACUACUGUUUGGUUAUAGUAAUUUUGAUCAGUGAGUAACUUUAGAAUGUACUCCAGAAAACAGCUUGAUUUUCCUUAAUAACUUUGUUUGUUUCUUCUUGCUUUUAAGAAUACCUGUUUGGUAACUGUGAAUGGUCAUGGGUUCAUUGCGAAAAUUAAGUUGUAUAUAUUCUAUACAUUGUGGGCCUGUAGCUUGAAAAAGAAACCUGGCAUUACCUAUGGCUUUGGGUUCUCUGUUACGGCUCUGGUUCUUUGUGUGGACCUUCUGGGAAGGUGAGAUGGUGUGAAAUCUUUUAUUUGAACCAAUUUAAAAGCAGAUUCUUGUUGAUGCUAUUUUUCAGUUUUUUGGUCCUAUUUUCGCAUCCAUUGUCAAAUUUUCUUCUAUUGAUAUUUGCCAUUGUAGUCCUCCUUAACUUCCACUAUGAAUGCAUGCCAUCCCUAUGUCCUCAUAAAGCUUCAUCUGUGAGGGAGAGGCAUCGAUGAGGAAGGAUGCUGGUGGUGAUGCCUGCCGUCUCCCUAUCAAUUUGACUGGAUAAGUUCAUUCUUCUGCUGUAUUCUUUAUCUACUUAUCAGUUUGUACUUUUGGUUUCUCGUUACUUCUUUACUGGUUUCAAGUUUCAACUUAAGGGUCGUAUAUGGCAUGUUAAGAUUACUGUUUUCUUUGUGUCAUGUUCAUGAAUGGCUGUGAUGAUAUAGCUUCCCUGCGAGAGCUUCUAUCUAACACCUGAAUUGAUUCACUUGGUGCUAAACUAGGAUGGCUUGUGUCACAGCAAGUAACCAGUUUAGCGGCUAACUAUUACUCCCUCCGUUCGCAAAUACUCCUUCCGUCCCCAAAUAUAAGUCUUUCUAGAGAUUCCAACAAGUGACUACAUACGGUGCAAAAUGAAUGAAUCUACACUCUAAAAUAUGUCUACAUACAUCCAUAUGUUGUAGUCCAUUUGAAAUGUAUAAAAAGACUUAUACUAGGAACGGAGGGAGUAUAAAUGUUCGUGGUCAUUCUACCAGAAAUUCAGUUAUGGUGUUGAGAUGGGAGUGUAUCUGAGCCAUUUACUUAUACAUGUCCCAGUUUUUGUGUCCUCCAGUUCAUGAUUUGCUCCUGAUAUAGUGAUUCUUUCUGCUAUUACUGAUUCUCCUGUGUUUUCUUGUCAUCUUGCGCUUCUCUGUUAUUCUCUUUGUUGGAUUUACGCCAAGUGCUGUUGAUGGCGAUGACGAGUAAGGUUCAUUCAGAGGUGUACUGAGAUCAUAUACCAUCGCCUGUUUGCAUGGUAUGGGUUAGGGUCAGGUAGGGUUUUGUGUGACUAGAUGGAAGCGUGCAAAUCAGGACGGCUUGCUUUCUGUGAGCAAAAUGAAUGCUGAAAUGUCACACAGGGGCAUCUCCAACGUGGAUCACCACGUGCAUGGGAUACAGCGUGGGUUUUGCCCAUAUGAUAGACGAGCCAACUCUGAGCCUCCCAUUUCUUCUUUUAAUAAAUACGACCUCUCUACAAUUUGUGCUUAUGUGCUUACGUAUAUAAUCUUCUCAAUCUGUUAAUGAAUUAUAGCAGUAUUGGGAUCUCACUGUAAUAUAUGUUAUGGUCUUUGACACUUACGAGAAAUGCUCAUAGCGAACUGGAUGUUGAGCUAUUUUACACUUGCAUACUCAGAAUGCUUUGAAUUACUGAUGCAUCAACAGGUUCUACUUUGUUUGACUAAGAAACAAUCCUGUGUGGCAAGGGCCUUGGCAAGCGGCAAAGGGCUUCACAUCUUCUGUUCAAACAAUGCGAUUGCUUGUUCUGUUUUCUUUGCUCAGCGUUCCUGUUUAGUCAUUCCUUCAUUUUAUUUCGCGCAAGGUUUCCUUCCCUUCCAUACCUAUAUAUUAUAUAAAUUGUUCUACGUUGCUCUUUCUGAUUCAUGCAUCUGCUGCACUAUGGCACCUCAAGCUUCAGCAAAAAUAUAUUACGUUUGGUCUUUGAUGUCAUCAUAUAUUUAUUUAGUUUUGAGUCCACCCAUUUAUUUUUUGUAUAAAUCAUGUGCAACCUAAUCUGCAGCACUGCCCCUAUUGCUAUGUUUGCCUCUUGUGUGAUUCCACCUUGCCCUCUUUCUGUGCGCCGCUGAUAUUUCCAGUAAUACAGUAUGUGAUUUCAACUUGAGUGUACUCGACAUCUUUGAUCUCCUUUAUAGUUAAUUCCUCAGCUUUCCGUGCGUAAUUUUUGAACUACUGCUAAUUUUAAUGACAUAAUUGCUCGCCUAGAAAUCUCAGUAUUAGAUAAUCGCAAGCUACAAUCAUAUAAACUGGACGGUUUGCCACCAUGAGACACUCCCGAGUCUGAUGAGUUCUUGUGACGUACUAACAAGUUCUGGUGACGUGUUUCUCUGAACGGAAGUCUGGUCAUAUAUGCUUGGUCAGUGGUUUGCAUCUGUAACUCUUUUCCAAUCACCGGCGCCGUAGAAGAUGCAGGGCAAAGGACUUGGAAGGGCUUUCCUGUAAUUGUUGUUUUCCAAGGUCUUACCUGCAAUGCACGCCUUUGACUCAAUAUAUGAACACGUGUGUCGCCUCUCAAAAAAAGUCUGGUCUUAUAUGCUUUCGUUGGUGGUUCUGUAAUUCACAUGGUCAAAUUUGUUAACAUGCUUGUCACAAUUGGAUGCAACUGAACUGAGUGUGAGUGCAUAUGAUUAUUAAGAUGGCGAGAGUAGUAAUUGCCAUGGCUUAGAAUGUCUAGUAAUUUUGAUAGCCAAUGUCAGUGGCUCAGAAUUACGCAUGAGCCCUAAAUGCAACCGUCCUGUAUUUGGACCUUUUGUUUCUGGCAGAGCUACGUGCCUACAUGCUUACUCGCACAACUUAAUGGCCCGUUGUACAUUAUGCCGUUGGCGAUUAUACAAGCACUUUGUUUUGUCGGAAGUACACUUGUUGCUGGUGGUUGCUAAAAUAUCUGUGUGAGGAGUCUAGACUGUAUCUUCCCAUAUACAUGUUCAGUUUUGCUUAACGAUGAAAGGAUAUUGUCCAGUAAAUUUCUAAAAUAUCGGAAUAAGUAUUUAUAUGGAAGGUUGCAUCAUGUAGAUACAAGAGUGAAUGAGACAAGUCAAAGAGACCGGGAGUAGGUUGAUAAACUUGUUUGCAUAUUUGAAACCGGAGGUAUUGUACUUACACUAGUAUGUGUGGGCAUACACUCAUUUUAUGAAAUCCGGCUCAGCCCCUUUCCAUUACAAAAUACUACUCCCUCUAUAAAGAAAUAUAAGAGUGUUUAGAUCACUAACUUUAGUAAUCUACUCUUAUAUUUCUUUACAUUUUAGUGAUCUAAAUGCUCUUAUAUUUUUUUUACAGAGGGAGUAUAACAAAGGUGCAACCUGUCUAAAAAAGGUUAAAAAAGGAAAAAAGGGAAGUGAGUUGAAUGCAUUGACAGAAAACCCUCGUGUCAUUACGUGUGAUUGCAACUGAAGUAUGCGGGACACAAACUAAACCUAAUAAGUUCCAACAUAGCAUAACUAGGACGACUCUCCUCAAAUAACGUGUCCCAGAAAAGACACCUUAGAAGUCACAUUUCUUCAGUUUUGCAUAUGAAUCAUGCUUCAUUAAUGUCUGAAGAACUAUUUCUGCAUGUUGAUCAUGCUCUUCUUCUAUCUUUGAAUAAAUCAAAAUAUCAUCAAUAAAUACAACCACGAGACGAUCCAAAAAAGGUCUGAACACAUGGUCCAUUAAGUCCAUGAAGCCCGGGGAGCAUAAUGUCCAUAUCUUGUGUGGAACACUGUUUUUUUGGAAUAUCUCCAUGCUUUAUUUGUAGCUGGUGAUAUCCCGACUGCAAAUCUAUCUUUGAAAAUACUUGUGUUCCUUGUAAUUGAUCGACCAAAUCAUCAAUUCUUGGUAAUAGAUAUCGGUUCUUAAUAGUUACCUUGUUUAGCUCCCGAUAAGAAUCCUAGACAUCAGAGAUAGAAUUAUGAGAAAAAUGACCAUCCAAUUUGUAAAAGUCGAAUGGAGCAACCACACAGAGAGGAAGCGACCUGGGAAAAAGAAGACGAUUUGCGUGCAUGUUUUCCGCAUCUCCAGUUUAUGGGUAAUUAAAUUUGAGGACGGAAUUUCUAUAAGUAGGGGAGGAUGUAAUACCCGUGUUAUUUAGAAUAAAUGAGGUGCUUUAAUUGGGAAAUUAAAGAAAAAUUAGCACACACUGAAGUUGUAAUUAGCAGUCUACUUAAAUAAAAUCAAUCAUUGGCCAUCAUUGUUUAGUACUAAGUGGAGUAAUCAAGUGAUUCCUUAGUGUAGAAGGAUGUGCAUUAGAAGAAUGUGUAGGUAGAGCCUUCGAGUAGGUGGCCAAAUGUGGCUGUAGUACAAGAUAUUUUGCAGCUCAAGCUUGCACUAUCUAUGGCAUUAAAUUACAUGCUGAUUCAGCCAUGCACGUGUGCGGUUCUAGAUGUCAAAGUACAAGCAACUGUAAAAUCUAGGACACCGAGGCCUUAGAUUUUUCUGAGUUACACUUAUCGAGCCCCAUUCCCUUCUCUACUAUGCCUAUAAAUAGAUGAGCAGGACUACACAACAGUAACCAUCACAACAUACGUACUAGCUCACUAGUUAGCUUUGCAUGGAGUAGAAUCACUUUGAUACCACUUUAACUAUCACACCCCGAGACCUUAGAUUAGCGAGAUAGACAGCCGUUGGUGACUAUAGGCCUAUCUCGCCUAGGCCCAGUCUCGGGGCUUGACAUACAUGAAAUUUGUUACCGCCGCCGACGACGAGAGGUGUUACGGGGUGAUGAGGUGAUGCGAAUGGGCUACCAGAGGGAUGUGAUGGCAACGAUGUUAGAGGCCGGAGACACAUGCCAGACGUCGCAACAGUUGAUGGUGCGGGCUGCACCCGGUCCAGUAUCCUCUUUUCUCCGGGGAUAUGCGAAGACCUGGCGUGGGAAAACGAUGAUUGUUACAAUAUUUUAUCUAACAUUCGCCAACACUCUAAACUAAUCGAAUCGGUCGGUGCUAGGUGCUCGGCCCGGCCAGCCAACGCCUAGUGUUGCCCCCUAAAGUUUUUGUCUGAGUGUUUUUUUCAUCAAAAUUUAUUGUGCGAGGUCCGCUUCAAUUUUCAGAUCAUUUGGACAUCUGAGUAUCUCUCAACAAAAAAAAAA
rnacentral:lncRNA from 1 species